rnacentral:rRNA from 1 species
AACGAACGCUGGCGGCAUGCCUAACACAUGCAAGUCGAACGAGACCUUCGGGUCUAGUGGCGCACGGGUGCGUAACGCGUGGGAAUCUACCCUCAGGUUCGGAAUAACUCAGAGAAAUUUGAGCUAAUACCGGAUGAUGACGUAAGUCCAAAGAUUUAUCGCCUGAGGACGAGCCCGCGUAGGAUUAGGUAGUUGGUGAGGUAAAGGCUCACCAAGCCGACGAUCCUUAGCUGGUCUGAGAGGAUGAUCAGCCACACUGGGACUGAGACACGGCCCAGACUCCUACGGGAAGCAGCAGUGGGGAAUAUUGGACAAUGGGCGAAAGCCUGAUCCAGCAAUGCCGCGUGAGUGAUGAAGGCCUUAGGGUUGUAAAGCUCUUUUACCCGGGAUGAUAAUGACAGUACCGGGAGAAUAAGCUCCGGCUAACUCCGUG